ensembl:lncRNA
CUUUUUGGAGCUUUGAUUUACUCAUUAAGCACUGACAGAGCAGAGGACAAUAGUGGUAGAGAACAGCAACAUCUUAAACAGCUGUCCUCAAAUAUAGCUCCGCUGCCCUUCAGCAGAGAGGUACUUGAGCAGAGUGAGAUUAAACCAGCACCUAGAGCUAACCAGUAUGAAACACCACACAAAAAGCAUGACUGCAUCCUCACUUUUUGCCACAAAUUAAGACUGCCUUCUAAACCAGAUCGUGAAAGAUAUGCCACAGUCCCAUUCCACUAGGUCUGAAGCUUCAUGACAUGGAAAUUUCCAGUCUUGGUGGUACAUCCAGCUCUUAUAUCACAGACGUGUAAAUAGGACACUAAAGCAUGUUAUGGCUAAGAUUGAAAGGACUCAAAACCGUAACUUUGCCAACAAGAAAACAUCUAAAAUGUCUAGCUUGGUAAGAUCUCAGUGGGAUCUAUGCCCAGAUAAGGAAGAGAAUGCAGUACCUUGAGGUCCACAAGGAGAGAAUUUUCUGUUGGAAAUGAAAUGUCACAGAUUAAGGCUGAACAGGAAGGUACUCUGAGAUUUUUUGGUAUUGCCGUGCAUAACUGGCCACCGAAAGGCACUCUGGGACUUUGGGACUUGGCUUGUUACAAACUGUCUCAGGUCUGAUCAUCAGUCUUCUGGUUUUGUUGCUUUCUCCAAAAUGAUCAAGAACUCAGAUUUUUACUGUAAUUAAAAUAUCUACAAAUGUUUACUUUACUUGCUUCAAGUUCCUGAUGUCUACAAUGUGGGCAGUAAGAAUGGGCUCAGACUAAAUAAAUGUGAAAGAGCCUGAAUGUCAGACUUGUUUAGAAAAGUAGAUGGCCAGGAACGACUUUUCUGAAAAAAGUGAGGUGGAAGUCUGGAAAUCUCCAGAGGAUUGGGAUUUUUACAGGAUUUUGACAUCCCACAUUCCCAGUCAGGAUGCUGGCAGCACAGAGGGGGCUGUUCUACAAGAUUUGGGAUCAUAUCCUUUCUUUAGAUCAAGAAAAGCAGAAGAACUUGCUGAGCCUGCAGAGAGGCCAUGGACACUUUGGAGAAUCCUUUGGCUGCACUGUUCCAAGGUUCCAGAUUAAUUUAGUUCAGUCAACUUGUCUUAGCUGAUGGUUGGCUGAUGUUUAUCAGCGCAUUUGUUCCGUCAGUAAUCACAUAAUGCAUCCAGUGAACACCACUAAAAGCAAAAGAUAUCUAUGUCUUGUGGCUGAUGACCCAUACCACCC